GACCCCCUCAAGCAGUUGAGGAAGAUGAGGGAUGUAUUGAUUGCAGCCAACUUUACGGAAUUUUUAAAUCAUUAUUUUUCCUCCUUACCCAACCAUAUCCUCAAGCAUUAAGAAGACACUUCAGAUUCAGGAACAGAAAUUAUCUUACAUUUUAGGGUGGUGAAUUUCAGGAAACUGGCAGCUCCUUUGAAUGGUGUUGAUGUCUUCUUCACUCACCCACAAAAUCUGCACAUCUAAUAGAACUCACCAAAUCACCAAGUAGUGUUAUCCAUCCCAUGGGUGCUUUGAAACUCACAAAUUACGUCACUCUGUUCUUUAGAGAGGAAGCUGAAAAUGCACUAUAUCCAUAGAGAUAGCUCCCAAACUCUCUUACCUUGUUUUAUGCUUUAUCACCAUGUCUCAGCAUUUUUCUGCAGAUCCAGUUCUGUUUUCCUUUCCAGCUUGUUGCACCUUUUGCUCUACUGGUUUUCUAGAUUUUCCUUCCUGCUCUCUCUUGGUAGGAUGUAUCCAUAGACUUAAAAUACAGAUCAUUUUCAGGUGGCCUCACAACAAUCUCCAGCCCACCCCUUAUCUGUGCCUUGUCCUUAGUGGGACCCAGACUGGAGUGGGCCAAAAGAAUAGACUGGGACCACUGCCGCUUUAAAUUCUGAGGCUCCAAGAAAAAGUGCUAAGUGUUUCCUGUUCUAUUUUAGCUACAAAGAGAAAUAUCUCCAGCAACAAGGUUGAAACAGCUUUUCUUUUAUGCAACUUCUGCAAAGAAAUGGUGCUUGAACAAUAUUUAUAGCUUUGGAAUCGCCAAGUCCAGCUGGUCUACAAACUGGUUUCUUUGGUUCCCACCUACAUUUUUGUCUUCCUUCCUAACUUCGCAUUUCACUCUGGUAGGAGGCAUGGGUAAAAGGAAGCCUUGAAAUAAAGCAUCAAAGUGAAAGAAAAAGUUAAGAAAAAAGGUCCAAAUAGAAGAGAA
rnacentral:lncRNA from 1 species